rnacentral:rRNA from 1 species
UACGGGGGGGGCAAGCGUUGUUCGGAAUUACUGGGCGUAAAGGGCGCGUAGGCGGCCUGCUAAGUCGAACGUGAAAUCCCUGGGCUCAACCCAGGAACUGCGUCCGAUACUGGUUGGCUUGAAUCCGGGAGAGGGACGCGGAAUUCCAGGUGUAGCGGUGAAAUGCGUAGAUAUCUGGAGGAACACCGGUGGCGAAGGCGACGUCCUGGACCGGCAUUGACGCUGAGGCGCGAAGGCCAGGGGAGCAAACGGG